UGAAUUUAUUUCAAACCAAAAAGAAGGAAAUGAUUUCGAAAUAAGAAGGAAAUGAUUUUGAAAAAAGAAGGAAAUGAUUUUGAAAAGUGUAUAAGAAAAUUUUUAUACCAAAACACUUUUUUUUUCUGUUUUUAUUUUCAUUUUAAUUUAUAUCGAAAUAUUUAUAUUUUUUUAGCUAUGUAUAUUACUUUGUCGUUGUUAAACAAAUCUACAUUCUGCAGCUAUAAUUCGUAAGUACGGGUGGAGCACAGAGUACAUAUGGAUGUUGCAUGCGGAAAAAGACGGGCGUAGUAGAUUUAUUAUUUGCGAUAGAAAUAUAUCAACAUGCCGUUAUCAAUACAAAAUGGACGUAUUCCAUUUUUAUAAGUGGACACUUUGAAAAUAAAUCAAGAAAAAGCGAUGCAGAGCUGGCAUGAACGGACCUUGUUUCAAGCAAAGUAUAGGCUAGACAAUGAAACGAAAGGAUGCGACGCAAAGAAGCCCAGUCAGCAAAGUCGGAGAACCAGCCACUGCACGUUACUUUGGAAGCAUUCUUACAAAUAUUGUUUGGUAUUGCAUUGCACUGCAUUUUGAAUUUCUUUUCUUUUUUUUUUUUUUUUUUUUUAUUCUGUCGGAUUGGAUUUAAUUUCAUUUUUCUGAUUUGAUAUUAUUUAUUUAAAUCUUUUUUUCUUAUUUUCAUUUCAAUUCUUUUUCUACUAUUUUACUUUCUGCAUGCUAAAACGCCACACAACUCACUAGCCCCUUGGAAUAUGUGUGGAUGUAUGAAAUGAUGCAUUGCUAUGUAUGUAAAUGUACCAGUGUCUGUGCUUGAUGAAAAACACUGGUACCACAGUGAGACUGAUGUGUGUAAGAUGACAUAAGUGCUAGGUGGUUUGGCAGGGUUAGUGGGUAAUGCAGAGAAACGUAGGUAGACCAGUCAAAGUUGGGUGCGAAAGAAAUAGGGUAAAAAGAAAAAAAAAAAAGAACAGGAAAAAGAACAGAAAAAUGUCUUUCAAGAAAUUGCAUUUUAAAAGAAAAAAUGUAGAAAAAGUAAAAAAAAAAAAAUUAAAGAAUAAAAUGUGCUUUCUUCCCGAUAUUGAUAAACUAGCAAAGCAGACGAAAUAACAAGGCGGAAAGACUGCGAUCGGCUGGCUAAGGGGAAUCAUCUGGUAAGGGUAAAUCGUCUGGUAGUGUAGGUUGUUACCAUUUGUUAUUUUCAUAAUUUUCAUCUUUGCGAGGGAUGACAGUUAAUAUUAAUGACUUUUUUUUUUUUUCGCAAUAAUAAAUUCUACUGUUUCGUUUUGUUUUUUCUAUUUUUUCUUUGUUUUUACUCCCUUUUCUUUUCUUUUCUUGCUUUUUGGUUUUUUUGCUUUUAUCUUCUCUCUCGAGUGUUUUUCAAUUCGGUCCACAUUUUCUCAAGACAAAUCUCAUACAUUUCUACUCGAUAGGAUACUGCUCAACGGGAUACGCUAUUCUGGAGCAUAGUAAAUGCAAGCAGUAUAUAUGAAUAAAACACUCAAAUAGGAUAUAGAGAUGCAGAGGCAGUGGAUGUGCUUUACAGGGAUAUCUGAGUAUAUACUUGUGUGGUAUGAGUGAUUGCAUCGAGUUUGUGCGCCGAAUUUAUGCACUGAUCUUAAGCAUUGAGUUUAUGCACCGAGAUUAAGCACUGAUUGUAUGUCUCGACUUUAUUUGUAUCAAUUUUAUACAUCUGUUUGGCUUCUACCAUUUCGUUUCUACAAUCUCCAUACACUCCUUUACACUUACUUCUUUAAUUUGUCGCAUACCUCUUACACAUAGAAUUACAAUUCAUUUGUAAUGGCUCAUUGCCUCUGCCCAUUUAUCGUUCGUUUACUUCUAAAUCCGUUUUCACCCCAUUCCAUCUUAUUAUCUAAACUUUGCGUAGCGUUAUAUCCUCUGUCGUAACCAACUUUUAUUUUUACAUUUCAUAUGUUGCAACUAAGGCAAAUUAAAUCAAUAUACGCUCUUCUCACCGUCUUCCUCAACCACCCCCACUGAGAUCUAAAGUGGGGUGCAUUUCCAUACUCAUUUAGAAUCAUUCUCAUAGAAUCACGCUCAUAUGUCUAAAUAUACUUUUACCUGAAAUCAGCACCAUACCGAUUGCCCCCCACUAAGUACAAAUUGAUCCCACUUCUACAGGAUUCUACUUUUUUAAUUUAUACCAUACCUGAAAAAGGUCGUAAAUAAAAAAUAUAAAUAAUAAAAAAAUAAUUCUCUUUCAUCUACUUUAACGCAUACCCUUCCGAUGUUUUAAUAAAUAAAAUAAUAGUUG